GAUGAACGCUGGCGGCGUGCCUAAUACAUGCGAGUCGAGCGUACAGACGAGGAGCUUGCUCCUCUGACGUUAGCGGCGGACGGGUGAGUAACACGUGGAUAACCUACCUAUAAGACUGGGAUAACUUCGGGAAACCGGAGCUAAUACCGGAUAACAUGUUGAACCGCAUGGUUCAACAGUGAAAGACGGUCUUGCUGUCACUUAUAGAUGGAUCCGCGCCGCAUUAGCUAGUUGGUAAGGUAACGGCUUACCAAGGCAACGAUGCGUAGCCGACCUGAGAGGGUGAUCGGCCACACUGGAACUGAGACACGGUCCAGACUCCUACGGGAGGCAGCAGUAGGGAAUCUUCCGCAAUGGGCGAAAGCCUGACGGAGCAACGCCGCGUGAGUGAAGAAGGUCUUCGGAUCGUAAAACUCUGUUAUUAGGGAAGAACAAAUGUGUAAGUAACUAUGCACGUCUUGACGGUACCUAAUCAGAAAGCCACGGCUAACUACGUG
rnacentral:rRNA from 1 species